GGACUGCAGAAUCUCACUUCUCUUAAUAAUUAGAGAUUUGGGGAUGCCCAAGAUCGGCGUCUUUGCCUUGAGCGAUGUGUUACCUCACCUCUGUUGGCUAUUGGUGGGUGUAGAGACAAGAAUUGUGUGAGACGAACAAAAUAGGUGAACAGGUUAAACUCAAUACAAUUAAAUGUCGAUAAUAGACUUGUGAAGAAGAGAGCAGGUUAAACUCAAUAAAGGGCCUCUGUAUCCUGAAAAAAUAGGUGAACAAGAGUGCGUUCGACUCAGAGAGUAAAAUACUGAUUUUAAGUACAAUUACUAAAGCUAAUGCAUUCUAAAGAGUGGAAUACAUUACUUUCAUAGUUUUUUAUACAAAUUACAUCAUAAAUAAUAAAAAGGUAAUUUGAAACACUCACACACCCAUAUAAUAUUCAAAUAGCGUAUAUAUGAGAGCUGAUCCCCUAUAUAGCUCUCUUAAUUCAACCUCUGCCAGCGAGUACAUCUCAAGUCGGAUUUUCUCUUAAUAGACCAAAUGUAGAGGCCAACGAGAUCAUCUCGAGCUAUGCCUACCCCUAUUUAUCCAUAAAAGAAUCGGGUCCUAGCGAGUCAAGCUCCAGCCGCGUCUACCCGUCCGGUUCAUAUCCAAUAUCACACACCACACGCACGCCAACACACACACACUGCUUCAAAUUACCAUAAAACAGCAUCUAUAACAUUUCAUCAAAUAAAGAUGCAAUAUAAAAUGUGCCUAGUAUUUAACUAUAUAAAUAUAUAUUUACAAGUGAUGCAUGGGCAUACCUGAAUAUAUAAUAAUAUUAAAAUU
rnacentral:misc_RNA from 1 species